GCGGAUGAAAUCUAGGGUUCCGAUCUCUUCACGGGGAUGCCUGGUCCAAGAGGUUUCCACCGGCCUUGCCGGUUGCACGGAGGGACAAAAGCCCGGGAGAC
rnacentral:sRNA from 17 species